GCGGCUGUAGCUCAGAUGGAUAGAGCGCGUGCCUCCGAAGCACGAGGUCGGGAGUUCGAAUCUCCCCAGCCGCACCA
rnacentral:tRNA from 1 species